AGCGAACGCUGGCGGCAGGCCUAACACAUGCAAGUCGAACGGACCCUUCGGGGUUAGUGGCGGACGGGUGAGUAACACGUGGGAACGUGCCCUUUGGUUCGGAACAACUCAGGGAAACUUGAGCUAAUACCGAAUGUGCCCUUCGGGGGCAAGAUUUAUCGCCAUUGGAGCGGCCCGCGUCUGAUUAGCUAGUUGGUGGGGUAAUGGCCCACCAAGGCUACGAUCAGUAGCUGGUCUGAGAGGAUGAUCAGCCACAUUGGGACUGAGACACGGCCCAAACUCCUACGGGAGGCAGCAGUGGGGAAUCUUGCGCAAUGGGCGAAAGCCUGACGCAGCCAUGCCGCGUGAAUGAUGAGGUUCUUAGGAUUGUAAAAUUCUUUCACCGGGGACGAUAAUGACGGUACCCGGAGAAGAAGCCCCGGCUAACUUCGUGCCAGCCGCCGCCGUAAGAC
rnacentral:rRNA from 1 species